GGUGCUCGGUAAUAUUCAAUAAGGCAAGACAAACGUUUACCUGAGAACCCGACCGGUGCCAACGAAGAGAUUAGCACUCGACGUGCCUCCGAAAUGAAACAUUCGAAAAGUACACAAGCACGUAACACCUACGUGCCUACGAAUAUAGAGAUGACGGAGCAACUAAAGAAUAGCGUUGGCCUUUUGUAGUUAGUUUACAUUACAGAACGGUGUUUCAAGGAAAAUUGUACAAGCUUCUUGGUAUUUCGUAGCCGAUUGACGCCUUUGAGACCAGUAUCGAUGAUUUAACGCAGCGUUAUGUCACAGGCUUUAAUUAUAUUAGCUGUUAAUCAAGAGAAACUGGUUUACGUCCUUAGAUUAACAGCCAAACGUCUCUAAUAACUUAGCUACUCUUUAUCCUGCAUCUGUAGCAGCAGUAAUAUCACUUAUAUUUGCAGUUAAAUUCCCAAUACUUAACCUAUCCCCCUGCGUAUAGGUAGACAUCGUUAUCCCACCUACUUCUGCCGCGAACCAAUAAUGCGUUUUGGUUUGAAUAGUGUAGAAUAGAAUAGUGUAUCAGGCAUUAUACAAUACAUUUAUUUUGAAACUCCGACCUUAUGACUCAAGACAUUUAUAACGUAUGUGUAACCAUUUAACUUGAGGUAGACUAUGAGUUCUCUUUUACCUCUCUUAUCAAUAAUUAUAAUCAUAAAAAAGAGCUGUACUGCCAAUCUUAGCUAAACAAAAAUUUACGCCUCAAAUCAUCAAAUUUGGUCAUACUAAAUUGUCCACAUAGUAUUAUGCACACCCUUGGUCUUGGUGAAACUGAAACAGCCUCCUAGCCGCCGCCAGGGCAGGCCAGGUGCCCAGGCCACCUUAUCCCUAAAAAGUAUCAUAAAAUUUUAAAUUGUAUGAUGAUGAUUGAGAAAAAAAAAUCUGUUAUGAACAAAAUACAAGUCUGUUUUUCGCCCUGCGUUGUAUUACGUAACAGCAACACAAUGCAGUAGGCAGUGGUAGGAAACGAAUCCUAAAUCAUAAAAUAAAUUCAGUUACUUGUAAUGUCCAGAGCUACUUAAUAGGGAAAUUACCACAUAUAUAAUGGACUAUUAUCCUAUGAUUUUUGCUUACCCAAUUUCAUAUUCCAUGUAUUGGUUCGUGUUCUCUCAAUAAUUAAGAAAUACCUUAUUUUCGGACCCAGUUAGAACUAUUCGAAUUCAAUAAUUCCAAAAACAAUCACGUCAAAUACACAAACCCUACAGUUUUCGAGAUCAGAACAUAAUCUUCCCGGAAUCAAAUCCCGCAUGUGGUAAAUUGGUAUAGUGCCAUGUGCCCUCGAGAGAUUCAGAUCAAUUGCCAACUCAAGGAACUUUCAUACAUAAACAUUGACGUGUCUUAUAUCAAGUUAAAUUGAAUGUUCAUUGGUGUUCAAUUUAAGGAUACAUUGAAAGGAAAGAAUUGUGAUUUAUUUACUCCUUUGUGUUCUUGUUAAGAUUGAAAGGUAAAAGGAAUCUGUGGUCUCGAAAGGAAAACAUCAUUUGAAAGAGAAUUUAUAUAGACUUGAUUCCUUCAAUGCUUUUGUUAAAUUAGUUAUGUGACGUAAACCGCGUGGCACUAUUUCUCGUAAUGGUGGUAUUGAUAAUAGCUUGUUCAUUGUAUUAGGUGUAUUAUUAACUUCACUCGUGUCGAAUAUUUGUAUUUUUUACAUAAACUAUACACUUUAUCUUUUUAGCGGUAGGCAGCGGCUUGGCUCUGCCCCUGCCAUUGCUGAAGUCCAUGGGCGACGGUAACCACUCACCAUCAGGUGGACCGUAUGCUCGUCUGCCUACAAAGGCAAUAAAUAAAACCUUUUUUUAAAUCAUUAUUUGAAUUCAGUCUCGCGGAAUAAUAGCUCCUAUUUCAAUUGUUCAUUCGUCAGAUCGUAGCCAUUUUCCAUUUGACAGGUCAUCAAAGGCAAUUUCAAGGAAAUGGCGUUCCAUUUAUCUGAUCAAUUUUAGUGGUCGAACCAUUUGCUGAAAAUUAGGGAGGAAUGUAUCAUUAUCAUUUUGAUAAAUAUAAAUCACAGUCAAAAUUUAUAUUGGAUUAGUAUUGAAUUUAUUUUCUCAAGCCACAAAUUAUUAAAAUAUGUUUGUUAAAUAAAUAAAAAACGUCACUGAUAA